rnacentral:rRNA from 1 species
UUCCGGGUUGAUCCUGCCAGAGGUUACUGCUAUCGGAGUUCGAUUAAGCCAUGCGAGUCUAAAGGUUUCUUCGGAAGCCUUGGCGGACUGCUCAGUAACACGUGGAUAACCUGCCCUUAGGUCUGGCAUAACCCCGGGAAACUGGGGAUAAUACCGGAUAGAUCAGGGGUCGCUGGAAUGCGCCCUGAUCCAAAGCUCCGGCGCCUAAGGAUGGGUCUGCGACCUAUCAGGUUGUAGUGGGUGUAAUGUACCUACUAGCCGACGACGGGUACGGGUUGUGAGAGCAAGAGCCCGGAGAUGGAUUCUGAGACACGAAUCCAGGCCCUACGGGGUGCAGCAGGCGCGAAACCUUUACAAUGUGCGAAAGCAUGAUAAGGGAACUCCGAGUGCCAGCAUUAAAUGUUGGCUGUCCUUGUGCCUAAAACGCACAAGAUAGCAAGGGCCGGGUAAGACCGGUGCCAGCCGCCGCGGUAACACCGGCGGCCCGAGUGGUAGUCGCUAUUAUUGGGUCUAAAGGGUCCGUAGCCGGUUUGAUAAGUCCUCUGGGAAAUCUGAUUGCUCAACAAUCAGGCUGCCAAGGGAUACUGUCAAACUUGAGACCGGGAGAGGUAAGAGGUACUUCAGGGGUAGGAGUGAAAUCUUAUAAUCCUUGGGGGACCGUCUGUGGCGAAGGCGUCUUACCAGAACGGGUCUGACGGUGAGGGACGAAAGCUGGGGGCGCGAACCGGAUUAGAUACCCGGGUAGUCCCAGCCGUAAACGAUGCUCGCUAUGUGUCAGAUACGGUGCGACCGUAUCUGGUGCCGUAGGGAAGCCGUGAUGCGAGCCACCUGGGAAGUACGGCCGCAAGGCUGAAACUUAAAGGAAUUG